rnacentral:rRNA from 1 species
GACGAACGCUGGCGGCGUGCCUAAUACAUGCAAGUAGAACGCUGAAGGAGGAGCUUGCUCUUCUGGAUGAGUUGCGAACGGGUGAGUAACGCGUAGGUAACCUGCCUGGUAGCGGGGGAUAACUAUUGGAAACGAUAGCUAAUACCGCAUAAGAGUAAAUGUUGCAUGACAUUUGCUUAAAAGGUGCAAUUGCAUCACUACCAGAUGGACCUGCGUUGUAUUAGCUAGUUGGUGGGGUAACGGCUCACCAAGGCGACGAUACAUAGCCGACCUGAGAGGGUGAUCGGCCACACUGGGACUGAGACACGGCCCAGACUCCUACGGGAGGCAGCAGUAGGGAAUCUUCGGCAAUGGACGGAAGUCUGACCGAGCAACGCCGCGUGAGUGAAGAAGGUUUUCGGAUCGUAAAGCUCUGUUGUAAGAGAAGAACGAGU